rnacentral:rRNA from 1 species
CCUACGGGUGGCUGCAGUGGGGAAUAUUGGGCAAUGGGCGCAAGCCUGACCCAGCAAAGCCGCGUGAAGGAAGAAGGCUUUCGGGUUGUAAACUUCUUUUCUCAGGGACGAAGAAAGUGACGGUACCUGAGGAAUAAGCCACGGCUAACUACGUGCCAGCAGCGGCGGCAAUACGUAGGUGGCAAGCGUUAUCCGGAUUUACUGGGUGUAAAGGGCGUGUAGGCGGGACUGCAAGUCAGAUGUGAAAACCACGGGCUCAACCUGUGGCCUGCAUUUGAAACUGUAGUUCUUUAGUACUGGAGGGGCAGAGGGAAUUGCUGGUGUAGCGGUGAAAGGCGUGGAUAUUAGGAGGAACACCAGUGGCGAGGGCGGUCUGCUGGACAGCAACUGACGCUGAGGCGCGAAAGCGUGGGGAGCAAACAGGAUUGGAUACCCGAGUAUC